GUAGGUGGGUUUGUCGCUGGCACUCUGUGUCAGAGGAAAGUCCGGGCAACAUAGAGCACCAUGCUUCCUAACGGGAAGUCGCUCGUGAGAGUGAACGAACGCAGAAGAAAAUAACCGCCAGCUUCGGUUGGUAAGGGUGAGAAGGUGAGGUAAGAGCUCACCAGAGUCGAUAGUAAUAUCGAUUGCUGUGCGUGUCAUGGGUUGUAAGAUCAAAUAUACCGACGUAUGUAGGGUUGCUCGUCCGAUGUCGGGGGGUAGAUUGCUUGAGGCUUAUGGUGACAUAAGUCCUAGAUAAAUGACAAACCGUCUUUUUUAAGAUGACAGAACUCGGCUUAUACACCUACUA
rnacentral:RNase_P_RNA from 1 species